rfam:Lactobacillus johnsonii NCC 533, complete genome.
UACUUAGCAUAUUUUUAUAGUAUGCAGAUCGAAUAUAGCUAGAUAAUAGUUAAAGAAAGGGUAG